AGUUAGCUCACCCCAAUAUCUACCCCAACUGCUGGAGCAUGUGAAAGGACUGGGCCUGCCAAACCAAAGCUGCAGGAUGUCUGUAACACAGGACAACAGUGGCAUAUCCAUGAGCAGUCCUGAGGAGGAGGAGCUAGAAUUAACGGUGUGGCAGAAGCCAGAUGCCUCAAACCAGAACAAUAUACUCAGCUCACCAACAGAACAACUCACUGUAAUGAGCAUUUGUAAGUAGAGCUGUGUGGACAAAGGGGUGACUGUGUGACAAACCAUGAUACACUGCAGCUUCCAAGGUUGAGCAUGUUGCCAAAUUCGUGAAAUAGACUUCCUGAGUAGAGGACAGAGAAGGCUGCCAGGUCUUUGAUCACUCCUUUUCUAUUCCUACCGUGAUGGAGAUACCACAGGCUCUAAAUGGAACUGCGGACACGGAAGCCUUCACAGAAUCAAGAAACCAUGAUGCCACCUUGUAGUCUAUGCAGAGUGUACUGGACUUAGGGCUGUUAGUGCUGUGACGCCUUUUGGUUAAAACGCUACAUUAGGCUCCUCUGGAGACCUGGACUGUGAUGGCUGCCUUCAUGCAGUUCUCCUAAGCCCACCACACUUCUACUCUGGUGAUUCUUUGCAGGGCUCUGCCAGACAGAAUCAAAACGACAGAAACAUAAAUAACUCCUUUAGAACUGAA
rnacentral:lncRNA from 1 species